CGCCCACCAAACGGGACAAAACAUACCUCGAAGCAUGGUUGCAGAACGUUGCGAGGAAACGUCGUUCAAUCCGAAAACGUUGCAAACCGGUGAAAAACGUUUUGACACUGAACUCGCCGCCCAUUCUCUGCGAAGCGCAUGAGCGAUGUCCUGCUAACCACCAUCGCAACAUUAGCGUCGAAGCUAAAGCGGCGCUAUGUAGUGACUGUGCAGCGCCACCUGGAGCUCCGGAGUGGUAAACGCCGGGGAACACGCAGCUCAAGAAGACCCUUACUGUCGUCCAAACAACGAAGGGCAGGAUGCCGUAGACGAACAGGGCCAUGAUGGCGGCGCUGAACAGGCCAGCCACGGGCACUGUGACAAACCACGCCAGGAAGAUGUUCCUGAAGAGGCGCCAGUCCACCGCUUUCUGGGAGCGGAUCCAACCCACGGCCACGACUGAGCCCACCUGGAGGCCGCAGCCAGGAGGGAAGAAAGACCGCAAUCAGCAGCAGCACAGAAAUGAAAUGUUACAAGUGGCAAAGUUAAAAACGCUGUGAAAAGCUGCAGGUUGUUCAGGCUUUCAUAUAUAUAUAAAAAAUGAUAAAAGAUAAAAGCAGUGGAGCAAAAUGUAUAUUUCCCUCUAAAAUGGAGUAUAAAUCUUUAAGGAGCAGAAACAGGGAUGUUCAACUAAAGUUCAAGUAUCUCAAAAUUCUAUUCAAGUAAAGUAAAUGUAAUUCUACAUUCCACCACUGAAAGCAGUUGAGCAGACCCAAAAGGUGAGUGGACAAAACAUUAGCCUGUAAACAGCCUUCAGCUCUUCAAUACCAGCUCAGUCCAAAAAUGUCUGUUAGUUAGAGCAAGCCUAUUGUAAAAGUUACUAAUACCAAAAUUACAUUUGUGGGUGUGGAAGUCUGAAAUCAGCAGUUCAAAAAUCAGGCUUUAAAUAAAUAUAUAUAUAUAUA